rnacentral:rRNA from 1 species
AGCGUUGUUCGGAAUUACUGGGCGUAAAGAGUACGUAGGCGGUUAUUCAAGUCAGAGGUGAAAGCCCGGGGCUCAACCCCGGAACAGCCUUUGAAACUACGUAGCUAGAAUCCAGGAGAGGUCAGUGGAAUUCCGAGUGUAG